rnacentral:snRNA from 1 species
GGAAGCCGGGUUACGGUGCC